ensembl:lncRNA
AGGUACCCUUGGGAAUAGAAUGCAAAGCCCUUUUUCCCCUGACUGCAUUUUUGAACCUGGCCAAACACUGUGACUCUACCUUUCCUUGAGGAACAUCAUUCAUACACUCUAGUUAAAAAACAAUCAUGCAAAUCUGCUAAAAGGAGAUUGCAGGUGCUCCAUCACACAAGAAAAAAUGGACAGAGUGCUGCACCCGGUGAGAGAGAACCAACCAGAGACUGAUAUUAAAUCCACACAGGAGUUUAUUACCGGCCGGGACCCGAGUGUCCAAAGAGUGACAGAAGGAGCGACCCAGAGAAGUGUUCCUCAGCUGGUGCCCACUCACUGCUGUCAAAGUUCCAAGCACAUUUCACCCAUAAAUGGUUGAACCAGGACUUCCUCAUAGCACCUGGAGGCCCAGAGGGUGCCCUCUUCACUGCCCAUGUGUCCUGUUUGCUGUUGUUCAGUCUCCAGAGGCCUGUUUCCUGCCCUAGAGGUGAACAAGUCUGCGACAGAAUUAAUGAGCGAUAUCCUACUGAUG